rnacentral:lncRNA from 1 species
GUUAGUCCGUCUGGUUUAAGAAGGGUUCGGUCAUAGACUAGCCUUCGACCAUGUUAGUGCUUGGUCUUAUACCAGUAUUUAAAUUCUUAAAAGCUUUCGGUUUAUAACAUUCAUUGCUAGACCGUCCGGAUGACUAUCACUUAUAGUCCAUCCUUUAGUGUCCGGUCUCAUUCCUUGCCAGACCGUCCGGAUGACUAUCAGUUAUAGUCCAUCCGUUGGUGUCCAAUCUUAUUCCUUGCUGGCCCAUGCAGUCAC